GUCAAAUCCAGAUCAAGAAGCAGAGGAAAGCUCCAAACUGACCCAAGGCCAGCUGUUAGGAGCAAUCCUCCCUUUGCCCCCUCUCUGCUGUCCUCAGAAAGGAUCCUUUGUGCCAGGCCCCACGGGUGCCUCAGCACACGGUUUUAGCUUUCAUUGACACAGACUUUAGCCAAUUGGACCCUCACCUAUUCAUGGACAGGAAGGGGGCGAAUAACUUUGGUUCGGGGACAGAAAAGAUACGCUUCUGCCGUCAUUGAGAUUGCUCGUGAGCAGCGGAGGAGUCUACUCUGAGGCGAGAGGCAAAGAGACAAGAUGGGAAAUCAGCUGCCCUCUCUGAAUCUGCAUCAGCAGCUCAUGGCUGGGGUUGCUCACAACCGGGACCUCCCUGUGACCUCUAACGUGUAAUGCGCAAACGGGACCACAAGGCGGCGCAGUUGGACGUUCAAAGUGAGGCUGAUUACUUUCCUGUUUGAUGAACUCUAAUUGUGGGGAAAAAAAGGCAAAAAACAAAACAAAAAAACACCCAGGCUUACACUUGUGCUCUUCGAUUUAAAUGUUAAUGUGAUUUAAUUUAAGUAAAAAUGGAAGUUAAAAUAUACAAAAAAAAUUAAAAGUGUUGACUAUCAGGAGUCAGUGAGGUGAAAAAAGUAAAAACACUACAUUUUUUACUUAAGCUUUUACGCACACGUUUGUCUCUUCAAAGAGAAAAUGUAAAAUGACGCCAACCAGAUGUAUGCAUCCAUGGCCACCAGGGGGAGACAUUGCAGUUUCCUAUAACAGCGACGCUUUCCCUGGACGUCUGGAUGGAACAAUGUGUACAACGCCCCAUCAAGUUUUCCAACAAAUUUAGACUUUUUCCAUAACUUUGCAUGCAUUAAAAGCUUUGAAAAGACACUAGGCUGAGUAUUCAUAAAUCUCACUCAAAGCAACACAGCUUUUUUUUUUUCUUUUCUCUGCCUGGAGCGCAAAUUCUCCCUAAUAAUUGUAUCCUUGGAAAAAAAAACGAGAGAGAAAAGUGAAGAAUCCUGUAAAUGUGCUCAAUCCGUUGAGUUUAAUUCAGCAGUGCUUUGAGCUGUCUUCACGUUGACCUUGAUGUAACUCCCAAACAAAAGCCAAGCGCAAGAUCCUGAAGCAGUGGGACCCGAAAAAAAGAAGAAUAUCCAUCACAGAAAAAAAAAGCAGAUAUUCAAACUUACAUUGACAUGUUGCUAGGUAUGAAGUUACUGCAAGCAGCAACAGAAUCCGGGUAUCCACAAAGCUGAGCAUGUCUAAAUAGACAUGCAGACUCCUUGUGCUGCUGUGCCCCUGUUU